rnacentral:rRNA from 1 species
AACGAACGCUGGCGGCAUGCCUAACACAUGCAAGUCGAACGAGACCUUCGGGUCUAGUGGCGCACGGGUGCGUAACGUGUGGGAACCUGCCCUUAGGUUCGGAAUAACUCCCUGAAAGGGGUGCUAAUACCGGAUAAUGUCUUCGGACCAAAGAUUUAUCGCCUUUGGAUGGGCCCGCGUUGGUUUAGCUAGUUGGUAGGGUAAAAGCCUACCAAGGCGACGAUCCAUAGCUGGUCUGAGAGGAUGAUCAGCCACACUGGGACUGAGACACGGCCCAGACUCCUACGGGAGGCAGCAGUGGGGAAUAUUGGACAAUGGGCGAAAGCCUGAUCCAGCAAUGCCGCGUAAGUGAUGAAGGCCUUAGAGUUGUACAGCUCUUUUACCCGGGAUGAUAAUGACAGUACCGGGAGAAUAAGCACCGGCUAACUCCGUG